rnacentral:rRNA from 1 species
UUUACGGAGAGUUUGAUCCUGGCUCAGGAUGAACGCUGGCGGCGUGCUUAACACAUGCAAGUCGAACGGUGAAGGAGAGCUUGCUCUCCGGAUCAGUGGCGAACGGGUGAGUAACACGUGAGCAAUCUGCCCCUGACUCUGGGAUAAGCGUUGGAAACGACGUCUAAUACCGGAUACGAGCUGCGAAGGCAUCUUCAGCAGCUGGAAAGAACUUCGGUCAGGGAUGAGCUCGCGGCCUAUCAGCUAGUUGGUGAGGUAAUGGC